rnacentral:lncRNA from 10 species
AGGAAUUCACCCCCCCAUGGCGGCUGUAGCAGCAGCUUUGGGCUACCAGACCUGGGGGAGUCCCCCUGUAGAAGAAAUGGGAGAUGAUGGGGAGGAGGCUACUGGAUGAAAGAUGGGUGGGUAUGGAGGAAUCAGAGGAGAGGAGUAAAAGGAAUAGCACAGGAACAAAGAGAAGGGGGUAAUUAUCAUUCCUAACAGGUUUUAAUCAAAGCUGUGCCCCAGAAAAGGGCGGGGGAAGUUCAUUUUAUACCCAAGAUUUUCUGGAGUGCUUCUGAUUUAUUGCUCUAUUCUUUCUAGUUGAGGUAAUGUGUUAAAUCUAUGGCUAGGUGUGAUCCAAAUCAUGUCAGAAGAACAGACUCACAUGUGGUCAAAAAUGUGUUGGAUCGGGUACUCUGGUGUUUGGUUUGGAAAACAGGGUUACCUUAACUAUAAGAUUCCUUAGACCAGAGGGAAAUAGGAAGUGACAAGGCUGAAUUUUGAAUUUAGGAGGAAAAGGAAGGGGGCCUCUGUAAAUAGGGUGACAGACUGUGUUGCACUCUCAAUGGAGGUAAGGGUUUGUCUUGAGAGAGAUCCAGCGGUUUAGUGGAGCAGACGUCAGGUAAUCAGAGUGGGAAGACGAAUACAGGAGGCAGGAGGUAAUUAGUGGAUCCAGAGAUGUUGGUAAGCUUUGACAUCUUGGCAAAGGCACGCCCAGAGUAAAGGGUAGAAGUCACUGGGGAGAGCUGGAGGUUCCUGGAGGGAAUGAGGGAGUAGAUACGGAAGCCCACACACAGGGAUCCAGCACCUACAUGAAAGGAGACACAGAAUCUGCAGGAGGACUAACAGUGAAGAUGGGGAUAGGCAGACACCAGACUCAGGAGCUCUGAGGCUCCUGGGUAAAAGAUGUGCAGAUCUCAGAAGUGAGAAAUGAGAGGGACAGAGGUCCUGAGAUCCCAGGAAAAUAAGGGAUGACGCACAAAUGAGGCUGACAACUUUUUUUUUUGUGAUUCUUUUUUUCAUU